rnacentral:rRNA from 1 species
GACGAACGCUGGCGGCGUGCUUAACACAUGCAAGUCGAACGGAAAGGCCCUGUUUUGGUUGGGUGCUCGAGUGGCGAACGGGUGAGUAACACGUGAGUAACCUGCCCUUGACUUUUGGAUAACUUCAGGAAACUGUGGCUAAUACCGCAUAGGAGCUCCUGCUGCAUGGUGGGGGUUGGAAAGUUUCGGCGGUUGGGGAUGGACUCGCGGCUUAUCAGCUUGUUGGUGGGGUAGUGGCUUACCAAGGCUUUGACGGGUAGCCGGCCUGAGAGGGUGACCGGGCACAUUGGGACUGAGAUACGGCCCAGACUGGUACGGGAGGCAGCAGUGGGGAAUAUUGCAAAAUGGGCGGAAGCCUGAUGCAGCAACGCCGCGUGCGGGAUGACGGUCUUCGGGUUGUAAACCGCUUUCGACUGUGACGAAGCGUGAGUGACGGUAAUGGGUAAAGAAGCACCGGCUAACUACGUG